rnacentral:rRNA from 1 species
AUGACUCGACGAAGGCGCCUGGUGGGGUGCCCUUUCUGGCGGCGGCGGUGGCAGCGGGGCACGCUAGAGUGCCGUCACCGCGUCGGACAGAUCGGCGAUGCGCCGCUCGAGAUCGGGGCGCCAAGCCACGAGAUCGUCGAUCUUGGAGUUGGAGGCGUUGAUCGCGGCGGUGUGCUCCUUGAGAAUGGUCUCCAGACGCUCCAGGAAGGACUGGAUGGAUGGAUCCAUGGCGAUGAGGCGGAUACGCGCUUGGCGGAGGGAUCAGGUUUCUACAAAUUGGGCCAGAUCGGCGCGAGGAAGGAGGUGGGAGUGGUCUCUGAUACCAGAUGUAAGGGUAUGGAUAGCGGUGGAAGGAUCUAUUGGUAG